CCUACGGGAGGCAGCAGUGGGGAAUAUUGGACAAUGGGCGCAAGCCUGAUCCAGCCAUGCCGCGUGAGUGAUGAAGGCCUUAGGGUUGUAAAGCUCUUUCAGUAGGGAAGAUAAUGACGGUACCUACAGAAGAAGCCCCGGCUAACUUCGUGCCAGCAGCCGCGGUAAUACGAAGGGGGCUAGCGUUGUUCGGAUUUACUGGGCGUAAAGCGCACGUAGGCGGAUCGUUAAGUUAGGGGUGAAAUCCUGGAGCUCAACUCCAGAACUGCCUCUAAUACUGGCGAUCUAGAGUCCGGAAGAGGUGAGUGGAACUCCUAGUGUAGAGGUGGAAUUCGUAGAUAUUAGGAAGAACACCAGUGGCGAAGGCGGCUCACUGGUCCGGUACUGACGCUGAGGUGCGAAAGCGUGGAGAGCAAACAGGAUUAGAUACCCUGGUAGUCCACGCCGUAAACUAUGAGAGCUAGCCGUUGGGGAGUUUACUCCUCAGUGGCGCGNGCUACGCAUAAGUCUCUCCGCCGUCGGGAGGUACGGUCGCGAGAAUAAACUACAAGAAGUAGACGGCGNGAGACGNGCCGACGGACGACGACGAGGGAGGUAGG
rnacentral:rRNA from 1 species